GACGAGGGGUCCAAGCGUUGUUCGGAAUCAUUGGGCGUAAAGGGUGCGUAGGCGGUUUGGUAAGUCUGAUGUGAAAUCUAUGGGCUCAACUCAUAGUCUGCAUCGGAAACUGCCGGGCUUGAGUGUGGGAGAGGUGAGUGGAAAUUCCUGGUGUAGCGGUGAAAUGCGCAGAUAUCGGGAGGAACACCUAUUGCGAAGGCAGCUCGCUGGGACGUUACUGACGCUGAGACGCGAAAGCGUGGGGAGCAAACAGG
rnacentral:rRNA from 1 species